AGUUGUGUAAGCUUGUAGAGAAGUAGAUGUUGGUUAGGAUUUGAUUAGACUUGUUAGGCAUGUGGAUUUAGUUUGGAUGAUCAUGGCAAAAGGCUACAGAGUAUGGGAGUUCCUUU
rnacentral:sRNA from 1 species